AUUGAACGCUGGCGGAAUGCUUUACACAUGCAAGUCGAGCGGCAGCGCGGGGGCAACCCUGGCGGCGAGCGGCGAACGGGUGAGUAAUGCAUCGGAACGUACCCAUUGUGGGGGAUAACUGUCCGAAAGGACAGCUAAUACCGCAUAAGUCCUGAGGGAGAAAGCGGGGGAUCGCAAGACCUCGCGCGAAUGGAGCGGCCGAUGCCGGAUUAGCUAGUUGGUAGGGUAAAGGCCUACCAAGGCGACGAUCCGUAGCUGGUCUGAGAGGAUGAUCAGCCACACUGGAACGGAGACACGGUCCAGAAUCCUACGGGAGGCAGCAGUGGGGAAUUUUGGACAAUGGGGGCAACCCUGAUCCAGCCAUUCCGCGUGAGUGAAGAAGGCCUUCGGGUUGUAAAGCUCUUUCGGCAGGAACGAAACGGUCCUGGUUAAUACCUGGGGCUAAUGACGGUACCUGAAGAAGAAGCACCGGCUAACUACGUGCCAGCAGCCGCCGUAAUAC
rnacentral:rRNA from 1 species